rnacentral:snoRNA from 1 species
AUGUACACAUGUUGCAGUGAAUAUGAUGAACAGAGUGCAUUUGGCUCGAGACUUUCUGUCGGUGUGGAAAAAACCUAGCUACCUUAUUUUUUUUUGUCUGACA